rnacentral:rRNA from 1 species
UUGGAGGGCAAGUCUGGUGCCAGCAGCCGCGGUAAUACCAGCUCCAAUAGCGUAUAUUAAAGUUGUUGCAGUUAAAAAGCUCGUAGUUGAAUUUCGGGAUUUACCCGUUGGUCGGGCUUUAGGGUCUGUACUAGCGUGAUGAAUUCCUACCUUCUGAAUAACCAGCAUGUCAUUAAUUUGAUGCGCCGGGGGAAGCAGGACUGUUACCUUGAAAAAAUUAGAGUGCUUAAAGCAGGCUAUUGCCUGAAUACAUUAGCAUGGAAUAAUGAAAUAGGACGGCAUGGUUCUAUUUUGUUGGUUUCUAGGAUCACCGUAAUGAUUAAUAGGGAUAGUUGGGGGCAUUAGUAUUCAAUUGUCAGAGGUGAAAUUCUUGGAUUUAUUGAAGACUAACUUCUGCGAAAGCAUUUGCCAAGGAUGUUUUCAUUAAUCAAGAACGAAAGUUAGGGGAUCGAAGACGAUCAGAUACCGUCGUAGUCUUAACCAUAAACUAUGCCGACUAGGGAUCGGACGAUGUUAAUUUUUUAAUGACUCGUUCGGCGCCUUACGGGAAAC